GCCUCUAUAGAUCAGUGUUAGAUCACCUCUGCUGCGUGAUCGCUCGCAGCCACACUUCGGAGGAGACGUAGGUUCGAGUCCUACUGGAGGGG